GGCAGUUGGAGGUGCUGCUGUGUGGGGACUAGUAAUGGCUUAGUGAAUCUAUUGGAUUAAGGGAGGGAUUUUGAAUGGCAUUAAGCUGUGGGGCUGCAGACAAGUCAACCAGCCGCCAGGACACUGGAUGCUCUCUGUGUUUGGGAUCCCACACACACACACACACAUACACACAUACACAAUAACGCACAUACCUGCUCAUGUACACACACUCACACACACCGCCGUGCUCCCCUGUGAGAGCCUGGAGGUAGACAGGGAGAGACAGGUGACUCCAGAAUGAACCUCUUCUGCUUCACUCUGGACGGCUCUACAGACAGUCUGUAUGAGUUGCCCCAGAGGAGUCCUGCUGGUCCGGAGUUGAGUCCAGUGCCCAGGAGGAGACCCUGCAGCCCCAGGUGUCUAGUGGACAGCGGCAAGUGGGGCGGAUCAGAACCGUGCAUAGCCUUGAAUCGUCCACAAACACCCAGAGCGCAGCUCACCAAGGCCGACUCAAAGAAAGCAAAGAGAAAAUGCCAAAAUCUCCUGCAGCACCACCCCGUCCAGCUCCUAUCACAGCUAUCAGUGGCAACGUCUGACGAUGAAAACACAGUGUCCAGUAAUGCUUACUGGCCGUGCUCCAGAAAGACAGAUGAGUCAGUUCACAGCAAGAACCAUCAAAGUGAAGGUGUGGCUGAAGAUGCCUACAUCACAAAGUCUUUGGGUCAAGAAGAGGAAAUGGAGAUGAAGCCAGAAACAAGAGACAGAGAGCACCCUCUUCAGGGCGUCAAUUUCGAGGCCUGGAAUCCGAACAGAGAGAUCUGCGAGAGCAAACAGCACGAAACAGGUGGCGAGGGUGAGAGCGAGCUGGAGACAGAGGGAACUCUGAAGAAGAUCCAGAAGCUGGUCCGGGUAAAAAAGAACAGCAAGGACUGCUCAGAGGAGAGCAGGAAAACACCAGACUCAAGUGGCCGCUCAACACAGACACAUUCUAAAGAAGGUAGCCCGGUCAUCACCUGCAUAGGACUGUCCAAAAGGCCUGAGAAGAAGCAUGGGAAAGAGCUCCUCCAGCAGCAGCAUCAGCAGCCCGAGCCAGCAAAAGAAAUGGACAUAAUGGAGUUGGAGGGUCCCUGGAGCCCGGGGCCUUUCCAGCACUGGACUAGUAUGGACUGUUCUCCAGCAUGGGAAUUAUCUCAUCAUACCUGCCAUAGACCUACAGCUGAUCAGCACUUUUAUUCCUUCGACUUCCAUCUGGCCUGCGGGGCUGAGUGGGACAGGUUUGAGGAGAUGUUCCACGGCCUGGACCACCUGAGGAGGGACCACUCACCUGACCUGGAAAUAACCGACCCCACACGUUCCUCCAGCUUUGGAAGGUUCGACACAUCUAAACACUCUCCCCAAACCAAGGCUGAAGAACAUGAAGGAACCCUGGUAAGAGUUCACCAAUAUAAACCCAGCCAGUCACUGAAUUAAUAGAGAUGAUAUGCUGUGACCUGAUUCUGUA
rnacentral:lncRNA from 1 species